UGACCUCGGAUCAGGUAGGGAUACCCGCUGAACUUAAGCAUAUCAAUAAGCGGAGGAAAAGAAACCAACCGGGAUUGCCUCAGUAACGGCGAGUGAAGCGGCAAGAGCUCAAAUUUGAAAGCUGGCCCCCUCGGGGUCCGCGUUGUAAUUUGCAGAGGAUGCUUCGGGUGUGGCCCCCGUCUAAGUGCCCUGGAACGGGCCGUCAUAGAGGGUGAGAAUCCCGUCUGGGACGGGGUGUCCGCGCCCGUGUGAAGCUCCUUCGACGAGUCGAGUUGUUUGGGAAUGCAGCUCUAAAUGGGUGGUAAAUUUCAUCUAAAGCUAAAUACUGGCCGGAGACCGAUAGCGCACAAGUAGAGUGAUCGAAAGAUGAAAAGCACUUUGAAAAGAGAGUUAAAAAGCACGUGAAAUUGUUGAAAGGGAAGCGCUUGCGACCAGACUCGCCUCCGGGGUUCAGCCGGCCUUAGGGCCGGUGUACUUCCCCGGGGGCGGGCCAGCGUCGGUUUGGGCGGCCGGUCAAAGGCCCCUGGAAUGUAGUGCCCCCCGGGGCACCUUAUAGCCAGGGGUGCAAUGCGGCCUGCCCGGACCGAGGAACGCGCUCCGGCACGGACGCUGGCAUAAUGGUCGUAAACGACC
rnacentral:rRNA from 1 species